rnacentral:rRNA from 1 species
UACGAAGGGGGCUAGCGUUGCUCGGAAUCACUGGGCGUAAAGGGUGCGUAGGCGGGUCUUUAAGUCAGGGGUGAAAUCCUGGAGCUCAACUCCAGAACUGCCUUUGAUACUGGAAAGCUCGAGUCCGGGAGAGGUGAGUGGAACUGCGAGUGUAGAGGUGAAAUUCGUAGAUAUUCGCAAGAACACCAGUGGCGAAGGCGGCUCACUGGCCCGGUACUGACGCUGAGGUGCGAAAGCGUGGGGAGCAAACAGG